rnacentral:rRNA from 1 species
GGGUCAGUAGGUUGGUCGUGCCACCGGUACGUACUGGUCUCACUGAUUCCUCCUUCCUGAAGAACCGUAAUGCCAUUAAUUUGGUGUUGCGGGGAAACAGGACUGUUCCUUUGGAAAAAUUAGAGUGUUUAAAGCAAGCUAACGCUUGAAUACAUUAGCACGGAAUAAUGAAAUAGGACGAUCGAUCCUAUUUUGUUGGUUUCUAGGAUUGACGUA